rnacentral:rRNA from 1 species
GCUCAGAGUGAACGCUGGCGGUAGGCCUAACACAUGCAAGUCGAACGGCAGCACAGUAAGAGCUUGCUCUUACGGGUGGCGAGUGGCGGACGGGUGAGGAAUACAUCGGAAUCUACUUUUUCGUGGGGGAUAACGUAGGGAAACUUACGCUAAUACCGCAUACGACCUACGGGUGAAAGCAGGGGACCUUCGGGCCUUGCGCGAUUGAAUGAGCCGAUGUCGGAUUAGCUAGUUGGCGGGGUAAAGGCCCACCAAGGCGACGAUCCGUAGCUGGUCUGAGAGGAUGAUCAGCCACACUGGAACUGAGACACGGUCCAGACUCCUACGGGAGGCAGCAGUGGGGAAUAUUGGACAAUGGGCGCAAGCCUGAUCCAGCCAUACCGCGUGGGUGAAGAAGGCCUUCGGGUUGUAAAGCCCUUUUGUUGGGAAAGAAAUCCAGCCGGCUAAUACCUGGUUGGGAUGACGGUACCCAAAGAAUAAGCACCGGCUAACUUCGUGCCAGCAGCCGCGGUAAUACGAAGGGUGCAAGCGUUACUCGGAAUUACUGGGCGUAAAGCGUGCGUAGGUGGUUGUUUAAGUCUGUUGUGAAAGCCCUGGGCUCAACCUGGGAACUGCAGUGGAAACUGGACGACUAGAGUGUGGUAGAGGGUAGCGGAAUUCCUGGUG